rnacentral:rRNA from 1 species
AUUGAACGCUGGCGGCAGGCUUAACACAUGCAAGUCGAACGAUGAAGUCUAGCUUGCUAGACGGAUUAGUGGCGAACGGGUGAGUAAUGCUUAGGAAUCUGCCUAUUAGUGGGGGAUAACGUAGGGAAACUUACGCUAAUACCGCAUACGACCUACGGGUGAAAGGGGGCUUUUAGCUCUCGCUAAUAGAUGAGCCCAAGUCGGAUUAGCUGGUUGAUGGGGUAAAGGCCUACCAAGGCGACGAUCUGUAGCUGGUCUGAGAGGAUGAUCAGCCACACUGGGACUGAGACACGGCCCAGACUCCUACGGGAGGCAGCAGUGGGGAAUAUUGGACAAUGGGCGAAAGCCUGAUCCAGCCAUGCCGCGUGUGUGAAGAAGGCCUUUUGGUUGUAAAGCACUUUAAGUGGGGAGGAAAAGCUUAUGGUUAAUACCCAUAAGCCCUGACGUUACCCACAGAAUAAGCACCGGCUAACUCUGUGCCAGCAGCCGCGGUAAUACAGAGGGUGCAAGCGUUAAUCGGAAUUACUGGGCGUAAAGCGCGCGUAGGUGGUUAUUUAAGUCAGAUGUGAAAGCCCCGGGCUUAACCUGGGAACUGCAUCUGAUACUGGAUAACUAGAGUAGGUGAGAGGGGAGUAGAAUUCCAGGUGUAGCGGUGAAAUGCGUAGAGAUCUGGAGGAAUACCGAUGGCGAAGGCAGCUCCCUGGCAUCAUACUGACACUGAGGUGCGAAAGCGUGGGUAGCAAACAGG